AUGGGCGGGUACACAUGGUUCGGUCUUGGUACUAUGUUGAUAAGCGAGGGUGCAAGGCUCAAGGGAAGCCGGUUCUCUAACUCUCUUUACAAAUUCAACGUGUCAGUUGAGGAAGCUGCUGAGUUAGCAUGGCGGGCGCGGGCUUUUAUCACGCAACCUUUCGUGAUGGAGCCAGUGGUUGUAUUCAUAUUGGUCCUGCAGGAGCGCGGCGCUUUGCUGACCAAGAAGAUUGAGAGGGGGCGCCAAUUGCUAGAGAGCGAGAAGGCCCGAACUGCUGCGUUGGAGGCCUCAGUAUCCGAUUGCAUCUCAGCCGAGGAGCAAUAUUGCUAG
rnacentral:rRNA from 1 species